rnacentral:rRNA from 1 species
AGUGAACGCUGGCGGUAGGCCUAACACAUGCAAGUCGAACGGCAGCACAGUAAGAGCUUGCUCUUACGGGUGGCGAGUGGCGGACGGGUGCGGAAUACAUCGGAAUCUACUUUUUCGUGGGGGAUAACGUAGGGAAACUUACGCUAAUACCGCAUACGACCUACGGGUGAAAGCAGGGGAUCUUCGGACCUUGCGCGAUUGAAUGAGCCGAUGUCGGAUUAGCUAGUUGGCGGGGUAAAGGCCCACCAAGGCGACGAUCCGUAGCUGGUCUGAGAGGAUGAUCAGCCACACUGGAACUGAGACACGGUCCAGACUCCUACGGGAGGCAGCAGUGGGGAAUAUUGGACAAUGGGCGCAAGCCUGAUCCAGCCAUACCGCGUGGGUGAAGAAGGCCUUCGGGUUGUAAAGCCCUUUUGGUGGGAAAGAAAAGCAGCAGGUUAAUACCCCGCUGUUCUGACGGUACCCAAAGAAUAAGCACCGGCUAACUUCGUG